UACGUAGGGGGCAAGCGUUGUCCGGAAUUACUGGGCGUAAAGCGCAUGUAGGCGGAGGGGUGUGUCGAACGUGAAAGGCUGCGGCUCAACCGCAGAGCGCCGUUCGAAACUGCCUUUCUUGAGGGCCGAAGAGGAGAGUGGAAUUCCCGGUGUAGCGGUGAAAUGCGUAGAGAUCGGGAGGAACACCCAUGGCGAAGGCAGCUCUCUGGUCGGUCUCUGACGCUGAGAUGUGAAAGCGUGGGGAGCGAACGGG
rnacentral:rRNA from 1 species